rnacentral:rRNA from 1 species
GACCCGCGGUGCAUUAGCUAGUUGGUGAGGUAACGGCUCACCAAGGCCACGAUGCAUAGCCGACCUGAGAGGGUGAUCGGCCACACUGGGACUGAGACACGGCCCAGACUCCUACGGGAGGCAGCAGUAGGGAAUCUUCGGCAAUGGACGAAAGUCUGACCGAGCAACGCCGCGUGAGUGAAGAAGGUUUUCGGAUCGUAAAACUCUGUUGUUAGAGAAGAACAAGGACGUUAGUAACUGAACGUCCCCUGACGGUAUCUAACCAGAAAGCCACGGCUAACUACGUGCCAGCAGCCGCGGUAAUACGUAGGUGGCAAGCGUUGUCCGGAUUUAUUGGGCGUAAAGCGAGCGCAGGCGGUUUCUUAAGUCUGAUGUGAAAGCCCCCGGCUCAACCGGGGAGGGUCAUUGGAAACUGGGAGACUUGAGUGCAGAAGAGGAGAGUGGAAUUCCAUGUGUAGCGGUGAAAUGCGUAGAUAUAUGGAGGAACACCAGUGGCGAAGGCGGCU